rnacentral:rRNA from 1 species
GUGGGGAAUAUUGCGCAAUGGGGGAAACCCUGACGCAGCGACGCCGCGUGAGUGAUGAAGGCCUUCGGGUCGUAAAGCUCUGUUGCAGGGGAAUAAAAAAAUGAAGGUACCCUGUGAGGAAGGAUCGGCUAACUUCGUGCCAGCAGCCGCGGUAAGACGAGGGAUCCUAGCGUUGCUCGGAAUCAUUGGGCGUAAAGAGGGCGUAGGUGGCUUGGUAAGUCAGGUGUGAAAGCCCAGGGCUCAACCCUGGAAGUGCAUUUGAUACUGCUGAGCUUGAGUGUCGGAGAGGUUACCGGAAUACCUGGUGUAGUGGUGAAAUACGUAGAUAUCAGGUGGAACACCGGAGGCGAAGGCGGGUAACUGGACGAACACUGACACUGAGGCCCGAAAGCGUGGGGAUCAAACAGGAUUAGAUACCCCGGUAGUCC